GCCUUCGUAGUGUAAUGGUCAGCACACUCGGCGCGUAUAUCGAGAGGUCCGAGGUUCGAGUCCCGGCGAAGGCA
rnacentral:tRNA from 1 species